GUCAAAUUUGGAAACGGCAAGUCUUUCAGCUCUGUCAAUAAACUAGUUCCCGCAGGAUCAAGGUCUGACCAGGAUGAGGAUACCCGAAAGGCUGCUAGUACAGACAUAAUGGUCUCUUGUGCGCACACAGGUACACCCAUUUGGCUGAUGAUAUUUCUGGUGCUGAUUCUGAUCUUACUACUUGUGGCAUUCGGACUGCUCACGUAUUACCUGAUGCAAGAGACUGACAACACUGAUGAAGUAUCAGAAAGAUCCAACCUCAGUGAGAAUAAUCCCAG